AUUUUGGACAAUGGGCGCAAGCCUGAUCCAGCAAUGCCGCGUGAGUGAAGAAGGCCUUCGGGUUGUAAAGCUCUUUUGUCAGGGAAGAAACGGCGCCGGCUAAUAUCCGGCGCUAAUGACGGUACCUGACGAAUAAGCACCGGCUAACUACGUGCCAGCAGCCGCGGUAAUACGUAGGGUGCAAGCGUUAAUCGGAAUUACUGGGCGUAAAGCGUGCGCAGGCGGUUUUGUAAGUCUGUCGUGAAAUCCCCGGGCUUAACCUGGGAAUUGCGAUGGAGACUGCAAGGCUAGAAUCUGGCAGAGGGGGGUAGAAUUCCACGUGUAGCAGUGAAAUGCGUAGAGAUGUGGAGGAACACCGAUGGCGAAGGCAGCCCCCUGGGUCAAGAUUGACGCUCAUGCACGAAAGCGUGGGGAGCAAACAGG
rnacentral:rRNA from 1 species